rnacentral:rRNA from 1 species
GUGUCAGCCGCCGCGGUAAUACAGAGGUGGCAAGCGUUGUUCGGAAUUACUGGGCGUAAAGGGCGCGUAGGCGGCCUUCUAAGUCAGACGUGAAAUCCCCCGACUUAACCUGGGAACUGCGUCUGAUACUGGGAGGCUAGAGUGCGGGAGAGGGAUGCGGAAUUCCAGGUGUAGCGGUGAAAUGCGUAGAUAUCUGGAGGAACACCGGUGGCGAAGGCGGCAUCCUGGACCGACACUGACGCUGAGGCGCGAAAGCUAGGGUAGCAAACGGGAUUAGAAACCCCAGUAGUCC